CUGGCGCAAGGUUGGUCUGCAGGUGGCCUCCAGGUGCAAAGUGGGAAGUGUGAGUCCUCAGUCUUGGGCUAUUCGGCCACGUGCCUGCCGGACAUGGGACGCUGGAGGGUCAGCAGCGUGGAGUCCUGGCCUUUUGCGUCCACGGGUGGGAAAUUGGCCAUUGCCACGGCGGGAACUGGGACUCAGGCUGCCCCCCGGCCGUUUCUCAUCCGUCCACCGGACUCGUGGGCGCUCGCACUGGCGCUGAUGUAGUUUCCUGACCUCUGACCCGUAUUGUCUCCAGAUUAAAGGUACGACAUUUGGAGGCCCCAGCGAGAAACGUCACCGGGAGAAACGUCACCGGGCGAGAGCCGGGCCCGCUGUGUGCUCCCCCGGAAGGACAGCCAGCUUGUAGGGGGGAGUGCCACCUGAAAAAAAAAUUUCCAGGUCCCCAAAGGGUGACCGUCUUCCGGAGGACAGCGGAUCGACUACCAUGUGGGUGCCCACAAAAAUUCCACCUCUGAGUCCUCAACUGCUGACCCCGGGGUCAGGUCCAGAUUUUGAACAAAUCUCGCUAGAGAUUGAACAGAGCUGCGCCUGGAUCCCGCCACAGUGAGGAGACCUGAAGACCAGAGAAAACACAGCAAACGGAGUCUUGCUCUGUUGUCCAGGCUGGAGUGUAGUGUGGCGAUCUCGGCUCCCUGCAAGAAUCUGCCUCCCAGAUUCACGCCAUUUUCCCACCUCAGCCCCUGGAGUAGCUGGAAGUACAGGCUCCCGCCACCACGCCUGGCUAAUUUUGUUUUUGUAUUUUUAGUAGAGACGGGGUUUCACUGUGUUAGGUAGGAUGGUCUCGAUCUCCUGACCUCAUGAUCCAUCCGCCUUGGCCUCUCAAAGUGCUGGGAUUACAGGCAUGAGCCACCGCACCUGGCUGUUUUUUCAUUUCUAUUAUGAUUUGUUCUGUGGAAUGUCAGUGACUUAGCGGUGUUUUUCACAUGUUUAUAAAGCUGAAUAGUUCUGUAUGUCAGCUCAGCACCCCUAGUGUCAGUCAUGCUACUCUCCUGCUGUGCAUAGAUGGGGGCCUGUCCACACCCAAAUCUCCUGGGUUCCCGCUGUCCGCACCUGAAGGUACCCACCAGAUGUGUCUGUCACUGCCCUCCAUCCACCUUUCUUGUGGUUCUCAUGUUUCUGCCUCCCUAGAGACCAUUUCUCUCUACAGCAGUAGUUUCCAAUAGAAAUACAAUGCCAGACACAUACGUCAUUUUAGAUUUUCUAGUAGUCACUUUAGAAAAGUGAAAAAGAGGCCAGCUGCAGUGGCUCACACCUGUAAUCCCAGCACUUUGGAAGGCUGAGGUGGGUGGAUCACGAGGUCAGGAGAUCGAGACCAUCCUGGCCAACAUGGUGAAACCCCCUCUCUACUAAAAAUACAAAAAAUUAGCUGGGCGUGGUGGCAGGCGCCUGUAGUCCCAGCUACUCGAGAGGCUGAGGCAGGAGAAUGGCGUGAACCCGGUAGGCAGAGCUUGCAGUGAGCCGAGAUAGCGCCACUGCACUCCAGCCUGGGCGACAGAGGGAGACUCCAUCUCAAAAAAAAAAAAAAGGUUACAAAGAAACAGGUGAAAUUAGUUUUAUUUCACCUAAAAUGUUAGCAUUAUCCAAAAUAUCACUUCAACAUCUUAUCAAAAUAAAAAUUAUUAAUGAGAUAGCUUACAGUCUUUCUUUUCUUUGAGACAGGGUCUUGCUUUGUGGUCCAGGCUGGAAUGCAGUGGCACCAGCAUAGCUCAUUGCAGUUUCAGACUCCUGGGCUUGAGAUCCUCCUGCCUCAGUCUUCCUAGUAUUCGGACUACAGGCACACACCACCAUGCCACGCUAGUUUUUUUUUUUUUUUAAAGACAGGGUCUCACUCUGUCAGCCGGGCUGGAGUGCAGUGGCACAAUCUCGGCUCACUGCAGCCUCGAUCUCCGGGGCUGAAAUGAUCCUCCCACCUCAGCCUCCCAAGUAGCUGGGACCAAAAACAUGUGCCACCACGCCUGAAUAAUUUUUGUAUUUUUUUGUUAAGACAGGGUUUCGGCAUGUUGUCCAGGCUGGUCUUGAACUCCAGAGCUGAAGUGAUCCACCCACCUUGGCUUCCCAAAGUGUUGGGAUUACAGGCAUGAGCCACUGCACUCGGCCUAAUUUUUUUUUUUUCUGAAGAGAUGAGGUCUUGCUAUGUUGCCCAGUCCAGUCUCAAACUUCUGGCUCAAGCAGUCCUCCCGCCUUGGCCUUCCAAAGUGCUGGGAUUACAGAUGUGAGCCACCACACUGGCCCAUUCUUUCUUUUAUACUGAGUAUUCAGAAUUUUUUUAAAAUGUGUUUUCCACUUACAGCAUUUCUCAGGUUGGACUAGCCAUCUUUCAAGUGCUCAGCAGCCACAUGUGGCAAGUGGCUGCCUUAUUGGACAGCACAGCUCUGGAGGGUGAUUUUAUGUACAUCCCCACUGCUCUCUCUGCCUCCUUUAUUCCCAUCUACCCCACACCCCUGCAGUCUGUGACUAUCGUGUCCCUCUCUCCUCUCUUUCUGUCUCUUGUAAUUCUUUAAUAUGGAGAAUUAUUUCCAAUUCCUUAACAUCCUGCGCUGAUUUUUUUCUGUCUUACAUUCAAGGGUCACAGUUUUCCUCUCACCCUCAUUUCAGUCUUUUCCCAUAACACGUGACGUGCCUUUUUGUCUUGGUUGGGUAUUUAUUUGCAAUACAAGAAUGAUUGUUUUCUUUGAUACAUUAGUGACUUACAUAGUUUUCAUGUUUUUUG
rnacentral:lncRNA from 1 species